rnacentral:lncRNA from 1 species
GGUGGUUGCAGAGUUUGGAGCCAUUUUGGGUAGCUGAUCUUGCAUUUUCUACGACUCUUCUUGGUCAGUUUCUAGAAGACAUGGAAGCAUAUGCUGAGGACCUCAGCCAUGUGGCCUCUGGGGAAUCAGUGGAUGAAGACGUCCCUCCUCCAUCAGUGUCAUUACCAAAGCUGGCUGCGCUUCUCCGGGUAUUUAGUACUGUGCUGAGGAGCAUUGGGGAACGCUUCAGCCCAAUUCGGGUCCUCCAAUUACUGAGGCAUACGUAACAGUUGUUCUGUACAGAGUAAUGAGAUGUGUGACGGCUGCAAACCAGGUGUUUUUUUCUGAGGCUGUGUUGACAGCUGCUAAUGAGUGUGUUGGUGUUUUGCUCGGCAGCUUGGAUCCUAGCAUGACUAUACAUUGUGACAUGGUCAUUACAUAUGGAUUAGACCAACUGGAGAAUUGCCAGACUUGUGGUACCGAUUAUAUCAUCUCAGUCUUGAAUUUACUCACGCUGAUUGUUGAACAGAUAAAUACGAAACUGCCAUCAUCAUUUGUAGAAAAACUGUUUAUACCAUCAUCUAAACUACUAUUCUUGCGUUAUCAUAAAGAAAAAGGGGUUGUUGCUGUAGCCCAUGCUGUUUAUCAAGCGAUGCUCAGCUUGAAGAAUAUUCCUGUUUUGGAGACUGCCUAUAAGUUAAUAUUGGGAGAAAUGACUUGUGCCCUAAACAACCUCCUGCACAGUCUGCAACUUCCUGAGGCCUGUUCUGAAAUAAAACAUGAGGCUUUUAAGAAUCAUGUGUUCAAUGUAGACAAUGCAAAAUUUGUAGUUAAAUUUGACCUCAGUGCCCUGACUACAAUUGGAAAUGCCAAAAACUCGAGUCUUUAAUUGUAAUGACUUUGUUUUAUCCACAGUUAAGCCUUUUCUCAUUACAUAUUUAUGUAUUUCACUGUCAUGUCAACAUGUCUGCAGAAUCACUGUAUGUAACAAACAGCCAUAUUUAAGACAUGCCUGGAUAAAUAAAAUUGGUAGGAAUGUUUUCUUGCCAUUAUAUUUAACUUUUCUUCUUUUUCCUUGACAAAUCUUGAUAAGUUUUUUUAUAUUAGUUUUAUUUUCUAGAAAACGUCUUAUGAAUUUCUCCUAUUUGCUCUAGCAUGCUUACAGAAAAUGUCAGUGUUUCUUACAGCUCAAAUUUGUAUAGUUGUUUUAAAAUGCGGUCUCUUUCUUCUUCCCCUGAUACUUUUUUCUUUCUGUCUACUGAAGUUAGUUCUUAUACAUGGUCUUAUAUUCUGGCUGUCUCUUUUUACCUAGGAACAUUCAUACAGGUUGAAUAUUCCUUAUCUGAAAUACUUGGGACUGGAAGUGUUUUGGAUUUUGGAUUUUGGAAUACUUUUUUUUUUUUGGAGAUAGUGUUUUACUCUUGUUGCCCAGGCUGGAGUGCAAUGGCGCAAUCUUGGCUCGCUGCAACCUCCGCCUCCCGGGUACAAGCGAUUCUCCUGUUUCAGCCUCCCAAGUAGCUCGGAUUACAGGCAUGCACCACCACGCCUGGCUAAUUUUUUUGUAUUUAGUAGAGAUGGGUUUUCACCAUGUUAGCCAGGCUGGUUGUGAACUCCUGACCUCAGGUGAUCCACCUGCCUUGGCCUCCCAAAAUGCCGGGAUUACAGGUGGGCACCACCAUGCCCAGCCGGAUUUUGGAAUAUUUUCAUAACACUUACUGGUGAGCAUCCCUAAUCUGAAAAUCCUAAAUCUAAAAUGCUCCAAAAUUUGAAACUUUUUGAGCACCAGUAUGAUCCCCCAAGUGGAAAAUCCCACACCCGACCUCAUGCAAUGAGUCCAAACUGUUGUAUGCACAAAAUUAUUUAAAAUAUUGCAUAAAAUGACCUUCAGGCUAUGAAUAGAAGGUGUCUAUGAAACAUAAGUGAAUUUCGUGUUUAGACUUGGGUCGCAUCCCCCACAUAUCUCAUUUUAUAUAUGUGCAAGUAUUCUCAAAUCCAAACAUAUACAAAGUCUGAAACACUUCUGGUCCCAAGCAUUUUGAAUAAGGGAUGCUCAACCUGUAGUCUUUCUUUUAGGAGGGGGGGGAAAAAAGCUUUUUUUUUUUUUUGGUGACAGAGUCAUGCUGUUGUCACCUGGGCUGGAGUGCAGUGGUGCAAUCUGGGCUCACUGCCACCUCUGCCUCCCGGGUUCCAGCAAUUCUCCUGCCUCAGCCUCCCGAGUAGCUGAGAUUACAGACACCUGCCACUACGACGGGCUAAUUUUUGUAUUUUUAGUAGAGACUUGGUUUCACCAUGUUGGCCA